AUCUCCCUUCCUUGACUCAUUCACUGAAAGCAAGCAAAAACCAUGGUGGUUAGCAGGUACACAGCAAGGACUGGUCGGAUAAGCAGUGUCUCCAUGAGCUCUCUACCCAUGGUAGAGCAUGGUCAUUGUCUACGUGUUCUAGAGCCCCAUUGUCAAAGUGUAGAAGAAUACUCCCACAUGAAACCCUUUUAGGAAGCACUUUAUCAUAGAAUGGUUUGGGUUGGAAGGGACCUCAAAGAUCAUCCAGUUCCAACAACCUAAAUGUGAAAUCUCAGGGUGUUAUUUAACAGGGUAAUUCGUAUGCGGCAAUUACCUGGUGUACAGUUUUUUUUUUAACAGGGUGUUUUAGUUAGGAUGAUUUUCAAGAAUGCUUUUUGCUUUCAGCUUCCAUCAGUGCUGGAGCGAUAGACACGUGCUAGAUUGUCCAUAAAGGAUUCCAACAGGGCCCUAAGAUUGAACUUUUUGUUCUGCAGAUACAGAGAUAUCACAGUGUCCUGAUUACAGAAGUACUUCUGGGCUAAGCACUCAGUACUGAGAAAAAGAGAAUGGAGCUGCAUUGAAAAUCAACACAUAAAACAGAUUUUACAAGACUCAGGCUUUAGACUUCCUUGUUUUAAACUCUCAGGCUUGGAAAAAGCCCACACAAAGUCCUAAAAGGGCCACAGGUCUUCGAAGCUCUCUUGACACUUCAGCCAGUAUAAAAUGAGGGACUGUGUCAUGGAAAGAAGCAAUUGUGAAAAUCACUAAACAUGCAUAUCCUUGACAGUGCUGUAGCAAGAGGUAUUAAAGUGGUAAUCAUUGGAUGUAUAAAUCAGCAGAGCCUUUUCAGUGUCUUUGCUUGCCUGUUGUGCCCAGAUUUUCUGCUUUGAAGAUCAAUUUGAGCAAUUCUCCUUUCAGUCUUGUGUCAUUGUGCAUAAUUGCACACAUUGUUCUCCGGUCCUUGAGGAAAAACAGAAAUGUAUUUUGAUGUUCUAGUUUACUCUGUGACUGUUGAGGAGCAAACUGCUAACUGGAAGUCAACUCUUCAAAACAUUUCAAGGCUAUGGAAUAGCUUUGCGUUUGAGAUGUUAUUAAUCAGUAUUGCCCUUGUUGCUCAAGUGGGUCAUCAAAUGCAAGGCCUUGCACAGAUUUUUUUUUUCUACUUGAAUGAAAAUUGCUGAUACAGAUUAGGUGUGUUCUUAGUUCUUAGUCUAAGCUUGUGUAGUUAAAACAAUCCUGCAUAAAUCCUGUUUCUGUGUAGGCAGAAGCACCAAAACUG